AUCUAGCCCCGAUGGAAACGGCAUCCUUUUUAUCCGUCUUUUUGCGGAUAAAAAGAUAUAGUGUACAGCGGGAGGAAAG
rnacentral:sRNA from 1 species